rnacentral:rRNA from 1 species
UACAGAGGGUGCGAGCGUUAAUCGGAAUUACUGGGCGUAAAGCGUGCGUAGACGGUUCUGUAAGUCGGAUGUGAAAUCCCCGGGCUCAACCUGGGAAUUGCAUUCGAGACUGCAAAGCUUGGGUGCGGAAGAGGGAAGCGGAAUUUCCGGUGUAGCGGUGAAAUGCGUAGAUAUCGGAAAGGAACAUCAGUGGCGAAAGCGGCUUCCUGGUCCAGCACCGACGUUCAGGCACGAAAGCGUGGGGAGCAAACAGG